UACGUAGGGGGCGAGCGUUGUCCGGAUUCAUUGGGCGUAAAGAGCUCGUAGGCGGUUUGGCAAGUCGGGUGUGAAAUCUCUGGGCUCAACUCAGAGAGGCCACUCGAUACUGCUAUGACUAGAGUCCGGUAGGGGACCAUGGAAUUCCUGGUGUAGCGGUGAAAUUCGUAGAUAUUAGGAAGAACACCGGUGGCGAAGGCGGCCCACUGGAUCGGUACUGACGCUGAGGUGCGAAAGCGUGGGGAGCAAACAGG
rnacentral:rRNA from 1 species